rnacentral:misc_RNA from 1 species
AGAUAUUGGCAAGGGAUUGACUUUUAUUCAACAACUAAAUUAGCAAGUCAAGACAAAUUAUUAAAUAAUGUCUUUGUUUAGUGCCUUAGGCUUAAUGGGAGGCACUGGAGGCUUUGAAGAGGAUCCAUUUUUUGGAUCGGCAUCUGGAAUGAUGCGGCAGAUGGAUUCCAUGAUGUCCUCUAUGAUGAGGUCGCCCUUUGGUGGUGACCCAUUUGGGUCUAUGAUGAGUGGCCCAAUGAUGGGAAUGAUGAGACAGCCACAGCAGCAACAAUAUCAUUUACCCGUCAUGGGAAGCCACAUGAACAACAUGAAUUCACUCAGCCUCAUGGCCAACCCUAUGUCCAUGAUGAAUAACCUCAUGGCUAAUAUGGAGCAUGUGCAAGGUGAGAGCAACACGCAGGUGUUCAGCAGCUCUUCAGUCAUGUCCAUGACCAUGGGGCCGGAUGGCAAGCCACAGAUCAAGAUGGCAAACAAGAGUGAUGGUGCUCGCAACGUGACGCGUUUUGUGGGUGGUCGUGGCAAGGUUUACCAAGAAAGUUCAACGGUGCGCGGAGGCCCUGGUGGUGUGCGUGAGACACAGCGCUCUGUGGUGGACACCUCCUCUGGCACACGCAAGCUCGCCAUCGGCCACCACAUCGGCGAGCGCGCCCGUAUCGUCGAAAGAGAGCAGAACCGCGACGGCGAAGAAGAGAACGAGGAACUUCUCAACCUAGAUGAGAGUGAGGCAGACGAGUUUGAACGCGAAUUCCGUCGUGUGGCCAGCAGCGGCGUUCAGCGUCGCGCAGCUAUAGAGUCGGGGCGCGUGGGGGGCAGCCGACGUGCCGUCACGCCCCUCGCUAUCGAGGCUCCACCGGCGACCGCGACCUCUCGCCCAGGCACGGACCGCCACGUGGACUUCAGUGAGACUCGAGGCCACGACACCAGCGACCGCUACAACCUAGAGCGCGUGCCCAUCGGCCGCAAGUCUGGCAUCGACGUAUCGAACUUUGACCGUCGGCCCUCGGACCGCUUGAGUGGAGAGCGCUUCGAGUAUCACCGCCCCAACACCAGCUACACUCCGGCCCCUACCAGCUACACGCGCCCCAGCUCAUACAUGCCCUCCGUCAGCUCCCGCUCGUACCGCACCAGCGGGCUGGGCCGCCCCCUCAGCUCCUACUCUGGCCGCCACUACAACAGGUACUGAGCCGCUCCAAUGCCCUCACUGACUGCAAUCACUCGUGCCCCUCCGGCACCGCUGUUUCUCUCUUCCUCGUGUCGCUUUGGUGAUGCGUGGCAACGCAUGUCAAUUCCCUGCAAGAUUUUCUUCGCCCUCUAUCCUUAACUUGCCAACGAAUAUCGUUGUAUAUAAUUCCUUGCUAGGUUUUCUUCGCGCUCUCUUCUUUACUCGGCAACGCAGAUCUUCGAAUUCAAUUCUCUGCAAGGUUUUCUUCGCUUCGCGCUCUCUUCUUUACUCGGAAACGCAGAUCCUCGUGUUCAAUUCUCAACGAGGUUUUCUUCGCGCUCUCUUCUUUACUCGGCAUCGCAGAUCUUAGAAUCCAAUUGAUUGCGAGUCUCGUCUACAAAUUUCCACUCUGCAUGGCUUGCUGUGUGCGUUCUGAUCGCUCUAACGUCAACAAACAAUUUUCGAAAAAACGAAUCUACCUGCACGAAAAACUGAUAAGGUAUAAGUGAUUGACCAACCAUUGCCUGUUGCAUCUAUAAUUGAGCUCUUUUUAUCACGAGAUGAGGAACCAAGUCUCCUAAAUGUCUUCAUCAUAUCGACAUUGCGUGAGGCUCUCUUGCCUGACGCUUCUGGUACCUGUGGGCCCUGCGUGGAGUGCAGCGGACGGGAGGGUAGAGGCGCGCACCCGUCUAGGAGUCACCGCCGCGCCGGCCCCUACGACCAGUGAACGGCACCACCCGAC